UACGUAGGGGGCAAGCGUUGUCCGGAAUCAUUGGGCGUAAAGCGCGUGUAGGCGGCCCGAUAAGUCCGCUGUGAAAGUCCAGGGCUCAACCCUGGGAUGCCGGUGGAUACUGUCGGGCUCGAGUCCGGAAGAGGCGAGUGGAAUUCCAGGUGUAGCGGUGAAAUGCGUAGAUAUCUGGAGGAACACCGGUGGCGAAGGCGGCAUCCUGGACCAACACUGACGCUGAGGAGCGAAAGCCAGGGGAGCAAACGGG
rnacentral:rRNA from 1 species